UCCUAUGGGGUGCAGCAGGCGAGAAAACUUUGCAAUGUGCGAAAGCACGACAAGGUUAAUCCGAGUGGUUUGUGCUAAACGAACCUUUUGACAGUCCUAGAAACACUGUUGAAUAAGGGGUGGGCAAGUUCUGGUGUCAGCCGCCGCGGUAAAACCAGCACCUCAAGUGGUCAGGAUGAUUAUUGGGCCUAAAGCAUCCGUAGCCGGCUCUAUAAGUUUUCGGUUAAAUCUGUACGCUCAACGUACAGGCUGCCGGGAAUACUGCAGAGCUAGGGAGUGGGAGAGGUAGACGGUACUCGGUAGGAAGGGGUAAAAUCCUUUGAUCUAUUGAUGACCACCUGUGGCGAAGGCGGUCUACCAGAACACGUCCGACGGUGAGGGAUGAAAGCUGGGGGAGCAAACCGGAUUAGAUACCCGGGUAGUCCCAGCUGUAAACUAUGCAAACUCAGUGAUGCAUUGGCUUGUGGCCAAUGCAGUGCUGCAGGGAAGCCGUUAAGUUUGCCGCCUGGGAAGUACGUACGCAAGUAUGAAACUUAAAGGAAUUGGCGGGGGAGCACCACAAGGGGUGAAGCCUGCGGUUCAAUUGGAGUCAACGCCAGAAAUCUUACCCGGAGAGACAGCAGAAUGAAGGUCAAGCUGAAGACUUUACCAGACAAGCUGAGAGGAAGUGCAUGGCC
rnacentral:rRNA from 1 species